UCUCCCUCUGGGAUGGAUGGUUUGUCCCCACCCCCCUAAGAAACCCUUUGAAACAUACCAGGACGGCAACACGGAUUCAGCACAAGGCAUUCGCUGCCCACAGUUCUGGCUGGUGCCCACAGAGAGAGGCAGCAAGGAGGACUCACCACCCCUCAGGCAGGAAGAAGCCGGUCUUUCCAAGCCAGAUCCCUUUCCUCCUGGCAAAAUGAAGAGAGCAUCAAAGAACGGAAAACUUCUUCUGGCCAUGACUUCCUGAUGGGGGAAAGAAGGGCUGGAUAAGGGCCACAGCAAGUGGUUGUGUCAUAUAGACAGUAACAUCUGGGGAAUAGCUACAGCGAGAAAGAAGAGGUUGGGAGAAGCUAAGAAGAAGGAAAGAAGAGACACAACAGUGGAAGAACACACUUUGGGAAGAGCAGGAUCAGCCCCUUUUUCAUUUCGGUUUCCCUCUUCUGCUACACCUUCUUCAGUUCGACAGUAUCCCCUUUGUGUAAUCUGGUGACUGGAACAAUACACAGUAAGUAUUCCAAAUGUGGCAAAAUACCAGGCUCUAGUUUCCCCAGGCACCAUGAAACUGGGGCACAUACCCCAUGCAGUGGGGAAAGAGCAAGCUGUAAAAAAUGACUCCUCCUCUUCCUGGCCCCAAAGCCAGAACAGACUGGCCCACCAACCCUGUUCAAAGCAGGCCUUGAUCAGCCACAUCCACCGAAUUGGAACCCUGACCCAGUUUGAGCAGGGAGAACAGUAUGACUGGUCUUCUCCUCCCUCAUGGUUGCCAUCUUGCCCUGACCUUGCAGCUUUCAAAGCAACCCAAGCAAUGUGCCAGGCGUUAGUAUGUGAUGAGAACUUGGCUUCCAAUCCUCACCCAGACUAAAGGUCCAUGGGGGAAACUUGAGCAAUCUCUUGCUUCUUUCCCUGCAUUAUGAGACAGUUGUGAGGUUAAAUCAUGAGUGGGGAGCACAGUAAGAGAUGGAUGUACAUUGCCCCAAACUUUUGGCCAAAGGGUGAAAUGAAAAAGUACUCAGAACAUUGCCUAACACAAUGUCUGUAUAAUUCACAGUUACUUCUGAGGAACAGCUACAACUGGAAACAAGAUCAGCUUCAUGUUGUUGUUGUUGUUGUUAUACCCCAGUAAGCUUCCAUUCCACCUUGGGAUUAUUCUCUGUUUUUGACAGUUAAAGCACCACAUUUUCAUUGAUGCCAGGAGAUGUUGAACAGUAGGGCACACAUCUUGGGGUGCCUCUGUCAUGGCACAAGAGAUAUUCCCAGACUGAUUGGGCAAGGUUCGGACCACAAUGUGUGUCUGGACAUUUAAAUUUGCAUUCUGAUUGGGCAAGACCUCUAGGGUUUUUAAAUUCUGUCUUGAAUUGAAAAUGAUAUUAUCCUUAUUAUUGUUAUUGCUGUUGUUGUUGUUACUGCAACUUUUAAGUUGCAUGCCAUAUCUCUGUUUCUCUGUCCUGAUCCGAUCAAUCAAUUCUGUUCAGUGAUUCUUUUCUAUUUAGCGGAUUGGGGGGAGCAACUGUCCCCCUCCCGGGGUUGUUGCUGGGGUCUGCCCUCUUCCUUUUUAGAUUGCGAGCCUUUUGGGAGCCGUCUUUCAUAUUUUAUCUACGUAAACUGCUUGGAGAUGGAAAGGGAGCCGAAAAGGCUGGAGAACAGCAGAGAUGCUCCCAAGGCUGGCUUCUACGAAUCCUUCGGUGGAAUGCAUUCUCCCCAUGACUCCGAUGACAGCAGCAAUGGACCUAGAGAAAACCUACAUUAUGUGUUCAGGACUACAGAAAUCCGCCUCCCUUUGGCCUCGUGCAGAGGGGAGGGAGUGUGUCCCAGCCCCGCUCUGCACGAGGCCCAAGAAGCGGGCCGAUUGGCCCUUUGGGUUAGGGGGUGGGGUUUCGGCCGGGAUCGACUGAUCCCCGCCCCGUUCUCCUCAGUUUGGGCCAGGCAUUCCCCUCCCUCCCUUCCUGGUACAGAGCGGGUCUAGCGACUGGUCGCCCAACGGGGCCGAGUAGGAAUUUUUUGCUCCCAACGCAUUGGCCACUGUUGGGUUUUUUUUUUUUUUGCCUACUCUGUUCUGUGUUCCAGGUGUGUAGUUAGAGUUAGGCCGGUCACAAUGGCAGUAACAGUGCGGGCGGGGUAGUAAUUCGAGAGUUAGAACAUCGGUGAGCACCCUUGGAUAUUUAGAAGGGUGAUUGGUCAAUCGCUACUUUGUGGUCUGUGUGGUACAGGGAGAAUGGAUUGCCAUGAAACCUGCUUCAGGACUUCACCAACCUUUGGACUGAGCGGUCCGGGGUGGGCGAAGACCUUGAAGUAUCCAGAUCCUCUCUUACGAAAGGGGGGGGUUGGCUUUGAAGGAAUUGGGCGGGGCAUACCUGCCCGUUUCCCGAGCCAGGGUGUGUUGCCCAGUAAGGUGCUGGGUAGGACGUCAGAGUUUUAACCCGGUCUUCUUGGCCCACACUGUUCUCUAAGGGUGAUUAAUCACCUGGUGUUCCAGUCCGCCAUGUCUUUUGUUACAGUUAAUAAAGUUGUGGCCCUUUUACCCAUACUAAGUCUACAUGUCUUCUUGGGCUGGGGUCUGCGGACAAGGAUUCCACUUUUGUGUGCUGAUCAGGCGCACACUGCCUUGAUUCUUCCACUCGGAACAAAACUCAUUCCGCACACAGAUGAAAAAGAUCAGAGGGAACAUUUAGAGGCACUCACCCCUGGAUUUCUGGGUGAACUCCAAGGCCUCCACACAUCCUGGGGGCCCCAACAUCCUUUUUAGUCUAUCCUGGCCCAUUGUUUUCCAGGCGACCGAGCAUGACUGUUGCCUGCACCGGAGUUGACUUCUGCUUUAAAGACAAUGGGGGGAGUGGGGAAAGAAAUAUGGAUGAUGGAAAUAUGUUACUCCGCGUGUUGAAAUGUUCCUGCUAAUGCAUAUUUGCAUAAAUAUAACUGGUUUUUAGUCAUA